rnacentral:rRNA from 1 species
AGUAGCCGCGGGAAUACGUAGGUGGCAAGCGUUGUCCGGAAUUAUUGGGCGUAAAGGGCUCGCAGGCGGUUUCUUAAGUCUGAUGUGAAAGCCCCCGGCUCAACCGGGGAGGGUCAUUGGAAACUGGGAAACUUGAGUGCAGAAGAGGAGAGUGGAAUUCCACGUGUAGCGGUGAAAUGCGUAGAGAUGUGGAGGAACACCAGUGGCGAAGGCGACUCUCUGGUCUGUAGCUGACGCUGAGGAGCGAAAGCGUGGGGAGCGAACAGGAUUAGAUACCCGGGUAGUCCCUGUCUCUUAUACA